GAUGAACGCUAGCGAUAGGCUUAACACAUGCCAGUCGAGGGGCAGCAUGGUCUUAGCUUGCUAAGGCUGAUGGCGACCGGCGCACGGGUGCGUAACGCGUAUGCAACUUGCCUCACAGAGGGGGAUAACCCGUCGAAAGACGGACUAAUACCGCGUACACUCUACGUUGGGCAUGCAAUGUAGAGGCAAUGAAAUUCGCUGUGAGAUAGGCAUGCGUCCCAUUAGCUAGUUGGUGAGGUAACGGCUCACGAAGGCGACGAUGGGUAAGGGAACGAAGAGGAGGAGGCCUCAGAGUGGUACUGGGACCCGGACCAGAGACCUACGGGCGGCAGCAGUGAGGAAUAUUGCUGAAUGGGAGAGAGCCUGAACCAGCCAAGUCGCGUGAAGGAUGACUGUCUUAUGGAUUGUAAACUUCUUUUAUACGGGAACAACAACAGUCACGUGUGGCUCCCUGCAUGUACCGUAUGAAUAAGCAUCGGCUAACUCCGUG
rnacentral:rRNA from 1 species